AUACGGAGGGUGCAAGCGUUGUUCGGAAUUACUGGGCGUAAAGCGCGCGUAGGCGGUCUGUUAUGUCAGAUGUGAAAGUCCUCGGCUCAACCGGGGAAGUGCAUUUGAAACUGGCAGACUUGAGUACUGGAGGGGGUGGUGGAAUUCCCGGUGUAGAGGUGAAAUUCGUAGAUGUCGGGAGGAAUACCGGUGGCGAAGGCGACCACCUGGCCAGAUACUGACGCUGAGGUGCGAAAGCGUGGGGAGCAAACAGGAUUAGAUACCCCAGUAGUCC
rnacentral:rRNA from 1 species